GCCCCAGUGGUGCAAUUGGUUAGCAUGCAGUACUUAUAGGGCAGUGCUGAGAGGAGCUAUGCUGAGGUUGUGAGUUCAAGCCUCACCUGGAGCA
rfam:Chelonia mydas contig22492, whole genome shotgun sequence.